GGCUUUGUGAUGUUUCUAGUCCAAUUCUAACGAAAAGAUGCACUUGGCAGCUACAGUUUUAAAGCUUUUUUUUUUAUUGACACGUAAUGGACAUAUAGAACAUUAGCUUUCGACAUUUGUAUAUCCUGCAAAACGAUGAGCGCAACAAGUCUACUAGAUACCCGCCACCAUAGUUGCUAAAAGUUUUUAUUGUGAUGAGAACCUUUAAGAUGUGCUCUUUAGCAACUUCCAAUAUGUAACACAAUGUUGUUGGCCAUAGUCGCCAUGCUGUGCAUCCUGUUCCGCGACUUCCUACAACUGGAAAUUUGCACCUUUUGACCUCUUUCAUCCUCUCGCGUUCUUGGCUGCAGGGUUCUUGUCUCAAGGAGUCGAAGAGUGAAUCUCAUGGACACAAAAGGGUGAAGGGAAGUGAAAGUUUAUUAAGUUAAGUGAUGUGUGAAUUUGAACUGUUUUCAUGUACGAUUUGGAUAUUCACUGUGUUCGGUGAAGAUAGCUCAUAAAGAAGUGUCCAGGCACGUUCAGUGAAUCCCUGCUGUGUGCUGUGAAAACUAAUAAAAGGAAACAUCGCCUACAAUAGAGUCAGGAGGCCAGCAGGAGGAGCUCGCAUUCCCAGCACUGGUUAUCAACUGCAGAUCCAACAGGAACAGAGGGACCUUGCACGCGGAUAUUAUUUUAUCCACCCAGUGCAAGAAGAAAGGUUUCCUCCCCGCCAGGAGACAGCCCAGCCAACCAAAGACAGUCACAGCUCAGCCCGUGAGAAGCACUUCCAGCUCCCAAUUUCCUUCAAUGGACGUUUUGUUUAUAACAGCUCCCAGGGAUGCCUGGGUGGCUCAGCGGUUGAGCGUCUACCUUCAGCUCAGGGCCCCAUCCCAGAGUCCUGGGAUCAGGUCCCGCAUCAGGCUCCCUGCGAGGAACCUUUUCCCUCUGUCUGUGCCUCUGUGUCUCUCAUGAAUAAAUAAAUAAAAUCUUAAAAAAUAAUAAAUAACAGCCCCCCAAUUCCCUCUUUCCUCUAUAGAAAAGAAUCUCUCUCCUUUGUUCUAGGGACUUGCCUAUGGUAUUGCUGGAGCUUGCUUGUCCUUGAAUUCUCUGUUAUUCCAGAAUAAACCCAU